rnacentral:rRNA from 1 species
AUUGAACGCUGGCGGCAGGCCUUACACAUGCAAGUCGAGCGGAUGAAGGGAGUUUGCUCUUGGAUCCAGUGGCGGACGGGUGAGUAAUGCAUAGGAACCUGCCUGGUAGUGGGGGAUAACGUCCGGAAACGGGCGCUAAUACCGCAUACGUCCUGAGGGAGAAAGCGGGGGAUCUUCGGACCUCACGCUAUCAGAUGAGCCUAGGGCGGAUUAGCUAGUUGGUGGGGUAAAGGCCUACCAAGGCGACGAUCCGUAACUGGUCUGAGAGGAUGACCAGUCACACUGGAACUGAGACACGGUCCAGACUCCUACGGGAGGCAGCAGUGGGGAAUAUUGGACAAUGGGCGAAAGCCUGAUCCAGCCAUGCCGCGUGUGUGAUGAAGGUCUUCGGAUUGUAAAGCACUUUUGGUUGGGAGGAAGAGCACUAAGUUAAUACCUUGCUGUUUUGACGUUACCAGCAGAAUAAGCACCGGCUAACUACGUG